GACGAACGCUGGCGGCGUGCCUAAUACAUGCAAGUUGAGCGCUGAAGGUUGGUACUUGUACCAACUGGAUGAGCAGCGAACGGGUGAGUAACGCGUGGGUAAUCUGCCUUUGAGCGGGGGACAACAUUUGGAAACGAAUGCUAAUACCGCAUAAAAACUUUAAACACAAGUUUUAGGGUUGAAAGAUGCAAUUGCAUCACUCAAAGAUGAUCCCGCGUUGUAUUAGCUAGUUGGUGAGGUAAAGGCUCACCAAGGCGAUGCUACAUAGCCGACCUGAGAGGGUGGUCGGCCACCUUGGGACUGUGACACGGCCCACACGCCUACGGGAGGCGGCAGUAGGGAAUCUUCGGCAAUCGACGAAAGUCUUACCGAGCAACGCCGCGUGAGUGAAGAAGGUUUUCGGAUCGUAAAACUCUGUUGGUAGAGAAGAACGUUGGUGAGAGUGGAAAGCUCAUCAAGUGACGGUACCUACCCAGAAAGGGACGGCUAACUACGUG
rnacentral:rRNA from 1 species